AUGUGGCGAAGACUAGGUCAAAGGGCAGAGGCGGGAUCGGGCUUCAGUGCAGCUGACAGGUGGGGCCGAGGGGCCCGCCUGGCCAGGUCAACACCCACCUGGCCGUGGCUUCUUCUUCUUCCGCUCGGGCGCUCAACCGACCGAGGCAGGGGCUGCCUCGAUGGCGAUUGCCGGCGGCUUCGGCCAUCGCAGACGACGGCCGACCCACCCAUGUGCUCGGGAGAGAGAGGAGCAUCCCGUGGUGGUCUCCGUCGCUGGCGAAGAGCACUCAAGAGGGAGCAGCAGGGGCCGCGGCGGAGGGGGCUUCGGUCUCCGGUGGGCAAGGGGUUCCGGUGA
rnacentral:rRNA from 1 species